GGUUGCUCCAGGAGAUAAGGCAGACAGGGGCACUGUAACCUGCGUGUCUGCGGUCAGGGUGGGAAUGGAUGGAGGCCGCUCCACAAUCUAACAGCUUCCUCUUCGCACUCAAUGGAUCGGAUCAGGAUCACACAGCGGUGGAGGCAGGUUUACAAGUCUGCUUUAAAGGCGCAGUAUGUUUGAAAAGGCCAAGAGAAGUUUUUUUUUUUUUUGUCGCCUGCAGGGUGGAGUUUACCUCAACACUGUUGGUUUCACUCUGCAGAAAUGUCGACCCCUUCAAGCAAAGGGUUAAAUCAGGCUGCCUCGUUCACCUCAAGAGUGGCUUGAAGUGUUCUUUUUGUCUUCAUGGUGGACCCUCCAGUGCCUCUAUACUAAAGUCACUUCAGACACAUUCACUGCACUCAGGUGAACUUUACGUCACUGAUUGUGACUUUUUUCACCAACGUGUGUUGAAUUAGUUGAGUCACUUCAAAUGUGAUGAAUAUUUAUGCAAUACAUGUAAUAAAAGACUCUUUUUUUUAAACUAAGUCCUGCUAAAUGUGACUCCACUAAACACAGACUUUAACGUGGUGAAUGCUUUUGCAAUCACGUGUUAUCACUUGAUUUUUGUAAAAAAUAUUUUUACUCUGACAUGCCCAAAAAGCAACUUUUCUUGAUUACUUACAACCCCUUCUGUUUGCAUCAAAUUAGUUCUGGAACACAUCAUGACACCAUACCCUCCCGAGCAUUAUAUGAACAAUAUUGUACUGCAGAAUGUAGUGUGUUGCUAUAAAAAUGGUCAGGAAAAGGCCAUAAACAAUAGAGAAGACACAGACCAUCAUAACACUUACAAAUGUAGGAUUUUCCUACAGAGAAAUUGCAAAGAAAGUCAAGGUGUCAGUAAGUACAGUUUUCUUCACCAUCAAAAGGCAGUCAGAAGCUUGUUCUAUGCUUUUAUGUCAGAGCACAAUGAGACAUUAACAUGCAAAGUUUAGCAUACAAAAUGGAAAAAUUGGGGCGCACUUUUGACCGGUAGUGUAAGCUAAGUUCAAAAAAUGUUUAAGAACAAAAAUCUAUCAGAACUGCUGUCAUUGAUUCUAGUUACUCCAGUGUUUAUUUAUUUAUUUAUUUAUUUGUAACAUUUUUUUCACUUUUUUGGGUUUUUUUUUUUUAAAUAAAAGAUGUACACAAGUCAAAAGAAACACCAACAACACUAUAUAUAUAUAUAUAUUAAUACUAUAUGCUAAUUUUGCAAAGAAAUUCUUUUUGUUUUAAUUUUAAAAGAUUUUUUUUGCUGAAGAUUCCAGUUACUUCACUUUUUUUUUUUUUUAACUUUUUUGGAGGCUUUUAAAGAAAGUACACCAAUCAACCAAAAGAAACAAAAAAUACUUGCAAAUGUAAAUAUAUGGUAGUUACUCUAUUUUGUCUUUUUUUCUUUUCUCUUUUGAAUCAUUUUUGGGGGCUUUUGCCCCUUUCCUUUUGACUUGCUUCUCUUCACUGGCUUCCUGUUAAAUCCAGAAUAGAAUUUAAAAUCCUUCUUCUGACAUAUAAAGCUCUUAGUAACCAAUCUCCAUCAUAUCUUAAAGAUCUGAUAGUACCUUAUUAUCCUAAUAGAACUCUUCGCUCUCAAACUGCAGGCUUACUUGUUGUUCCUAGAAUUUCUAAAAGUAGAAUGGGAGGCAGAGCCUUCAGUUAUCAGGCACCUCUCCUGUGGAACCUGCUCCCAGUUUGGGUUCGGGAGGCAGAUACCCUCUCUAUUUUUAAGAAUAGGCUUAAGACGUUCCUUUUUGACAAAUCUUAUAGUUGGGGCUGACUGGGUGACCCACAGGGGUUCGGCUUGUGUCUUCAUUUGCACAGCUGACUCCCUCUUGGACAUCCCUUCGUUCUGCCUCUAGUCAUGCUGCUAUAGGCCUAUAGGCUGCUGGGGGACUUCUCUUGACGCACUGAGCCCUUCUCUAUCUACCUUUACAUUUAAUAUGUAUACCGUUAUUGCAGUACAUUCACUCUGUUUCCCCCUGUGCUAUUUCUCCGAGUGUCCCUGGUCCCAGAGCUGGAUGCUUCAGAUCUGCGGUUGAUGUUCCACCAGCUGGUCCAGUCUCCACCAUGUCCACUGUGGGAUGCUGCUGCUGACCUUCCUCCAGCCCUCCCCUUCCAACUCCCCUUUUCCACCAGUCAACUCUGCAUCGCCUUCACUAUACUGUUAUGCUAACUUACAUACUGUUUGAAUUUUACUGCUAGCUAUAUAUGGAGUAUGUUUAAUGUCAGAGCCGUACAUCAUAAGAGUAAACUAUGAGUCAGUUUUCAAUGUUAGCUUAUACUUUGUUUGGUUCACAUAUCCUGUCAUGCAUGUAUCCAAAUGUGUGUUGUGUUUUCCUUGCUUUCCCACCCCUCCCUCUUCUCCCAUCCCUCCCCCUUGCCCUCCUCUGUCCCUCUCAACCCGCCCGGCCAGCAGGCAGAUGGGUCCCCCCUAUAUAGAGCCGGGUUCUGCUCGAGGUUUCUUCCCUGUUAAAAGGGUGUUUUUCCUUGCCACUGUCGCCUUUGGGCUUGCUCAGGGGGUCAGGCAUAUGGGUUCUGUAAAGCGUCUUGAGACGAUUUGACUGUAUUUGACGCUAUAUAAAUAAAAUUGAAUUGAAUUGAA